GAUGAACGCUAGCGGCAGGCCUAACACAUGCAAGUCGAGGGGCAGCACGUCUUCGGAUGGUGGCGACCGGCGCACGGGUGCGUAACGCGUAUGCAACCUACCUCUUACAGUGGGAUAGCCCAGAGAAAUUUGGAUUAAUACCGCAUAGUAUACAGAUUCAGCAUUGGGACUGUAUUAAACAUUUAUGGGUAAGAGAUGGGCAUGCGUUCUAUUAGUUAGUUGGAGUGGUAACGGCACCCCAAGAACAGCGAUAGAUAGGGCCCGUGAGAGGGGAGUCCCCACCACUGGUACGUGAGACACGGACCAGACUCCUACGGGAGGCAGCAGUGAGGAAUAUUGGACAAU
rnacentral:rRNA from 1 species